UACAGAGGUCUCGAGCGUUGUUCGGAUUCAUUGGGCGUAAAGGGUGCGUAGGCGGCGCGGUAAGUCGGGUGUGAAAUCUUGGAGCUUAACUCCGAAACUGCAUUCGAUACUGCCGUGCUUGAGGACUGGAGAGGAGACUGGAAUUUACGGUGUAGCGGUGAAAUGCGUAGAUAUCGUAAGGAAGACCAGUGGCGAAGGCGGGUCUCUGGACAGUUCCUGACGCUGAGGCACGAAGGCCAGGGGGAGCAAACGGG
rnacentral:rRNA from 1 species